GAUGAACGCUAGCUACAGGCUUAACACAUGCAAGUCGAGGGACCGGCGCGCGGGUGAGUAACACGUAUCCCACCUGCCCUUUACUCGGGGAUAGCCUUUCGACAGAAAGAUUAAUACCCGAUAUAAAGGAUGGGGAUGCGUUCCAUUAGGUUGUUGGUGAGGUAACGGCCCACCAAGCCUUCGAUGGAUAGGGGUGCUGAGAGGAAGGUCCCCCACAUUGGAACUGAGACCCGGUCCAAACUCCUACGGGAGGCAGCAGUGAGGAAUAUUGGGCAAUGGGCGUUAGCCUGAACCAGCCAAGUAGCGUGAAGGAUGAAGGCUUAUGGGUCGUAAACUUCUUUUAUAUAAGAAUAGGUAUUAUAUGAAUAAGGAUCGGCUAACUCCGUGCCAGCAGCCGCGGUAAUUC
rnacentral:rRNA from 1 species